rnacentral:lncRNA from 1 species
UCCCAUGUUGUAACUCUAGGUAUAAAUUGUAUUUUAUUUUCUGUUCAGCCUUUUUUGAUAAUUUUUUCCCUCUCCUGUUGCUGCCCCUCUUCUCUUUUCUCAUUUUCCCCAAUUUUCUUUUCCUUUCUUUUUUUUUCAUUUUGCCGCCCCUACGUCUCAAUUUUCUCCCAUACUCUUCUUCUUUCUUACAUUACGUCUCAAUUUUCUCCCAUACUCUUCUUCUUUCUUACAUUGUUGUUGCCGCUUUAGUGAACAACCACCAUUGUUGUAGUCGUCCAUUAGAGAUCUCCCACCCUCUCUUUGUUUUCUUUCUUUUUCCUAUGAUGGCUAAAUACUACAGGGUCUAUGGUCGAAUUUCUCAUGUGCUAAUUUCAUGAAUUUUUCUUUGUCAAAGGUCUAGACUUGAAUUUCCUCAGAUCUCCAGUGAAGUUUGAGGCCGUACGCAUCUUUCAUUUGAUCAUUAUAAGUGUAAGUGAUCUUGGAAACUUAGAUAUGAAAUUUUGGUUUGUUUCCCUGAUUUGGCCGAGCCCUAUAGGGGUGUUUUAUGGUUGAUUCUGACGUGUAAUUUCUUCGUGUUAGGUACAAAUCUAAACAGGAUUUAGUCAGAUAUGAGACAUAGGAGUUGUGGAUUAGUUUUAGUGCUUCAGAUUGUGUUUUCAGGUGUGGUUCUUAAAUUUGGGUGUAUUGGUGAUUAUUGAAAGUAUGUGUUAUGUAUGGCCUUGCGUCAGAUAAGGGAUUGCCGAACAUGGUAAGUGUUAAGAAGCGAUGGUUGAAUGUUUAAGGUCCUUUAAUUAUGGUUAAUUGAGUGUGUAAGUGUCAUAUGUAUUAUCUGAUUGUAUGUCUAUUGGGAUGUAUGAUGUGUUAUUAUUUAUUGUUUACAUGUAAAAGCAUGCCACUGAUUUUUACUGUACAUACCAAUUGCAUGUAAAACAUGUCACUGAUACUGAUAAGCUAAAAGCAUGUUAAGCAUGCCACUGUUAUUGAUAUUGUCAAUGACUAGCAUGAUAUGCUACAUUAUUGGUAAGACAUAUUGUAUUGGAUGGGGAUUGGGGAUUGAUUGGUGAUGGAGGAGUUUUGUAGAGUCGGAUAGUUUAUUCGCAUUAUUACACUAGCAGUUAAUCUGCAACCUUUGGAGUACUAGCGGUUUAUCCGCAACUUACUAGCAGUUUGUCUGCCAAUUAUUGACUAUUUAACUACAAAUUAUUACUGGUGGUUCAUUCACAUUGAACUACGACUGUGUAUCAGAUGACGAGUAUUGGAAACUCGUAGUUUAUAGUGGAUGGAUGGGUAGGAUCUAUGCACUGUUUCAUAUAUGCAUGUCAUGUAAAAAAAUUGUAAUAUUAAGGACUGUGAUGUCUUGAUUUACUGUAUGUUUUUUUUUUUUUAUAAUGAUAGUUGUAUGCUUCACUAAUUGUUUGUAUGUCUAUACAUUGUUUACAUAUACAUUGUUUACAUAUGUUUAGACUCACAUUAAGCUUUUCAAGCUCACCCAUUUAAUUUACUUAUUACUGAUA